ACGUCAAAUCAUCAUGCCCCUUAUGUCCUGGGCUACACACGUGCUACAAUGGCCGGUACAAAAAGAAGCAAUACCGCGAGGUGGAGCAAAUCUCUAAAACCGGUCCCAGUUCGGAUUGCAGGCUGCAACUCGCCUGCAUGAAGCUGGAGUUGCUAGUAAUCGUGAAUCAGAAUGUCACGGUGAAUGCGUUCCCGGGCCUU
rnacentral:rRNA from 1 species